ACACGAUCCUGAAAAAAAAAAAUCUAGCCUCCAUCUUCUUUAGGUCCUCGUUUCUGGUUCUUCUUUCCUUUAUCGUUUCGCUUCCGAGGUUCAAUUACUCGAUUCAAUUCACCUAAGAAUACGCGUUGUGGAUCUGCUAAUCCCCGUUUGAAUUCGGAGAACAUUUGUGGUCAGCGGCGGAGGUUAAGAGAGAGGAUGAGUGCUAGGAUGACUUUGGCUUAUUUGCGGCGGAGGAUUUGGCUAGACUUAGUGUCUUGCUUAGUGAUUGGCGAUGGUGGAUGGCUCUUUUAAACGUGUCGAGAGAGUUGAGAGAGGAGUUAAAAGUGUGGCUAUUUGACUGCCUCUGAUUUGUGUUCUGAUCUAUGUUUCCCGGUGAGGAAUUCUUCAUCCAUCACCAGUUUGCUUGUGAAGCUCCUUGAUGCGAGAACGGGGAAAACCAAGGUAGCCGCCGGUGCUGUGUUACCUCAAGACAAUAACACCUUGCUCUGGAACGCUGUUAUCUUCGGUCCAGAUGAUACACCUUGGGAUGGAGUCUAUGCAGAUGGAAGUAUUUGUCUUGACAUCUUACAGAACCAAUGGAGUCCUAUUUAUGAUGUUGCAGCAAUCCUUACAUCUAUCCAUAGGUAUAUAUAAUCAAUCUUUUGUGAAGCGUGGGGAAUCGCGAUUCCGGAAAAGGUUAAUCUGGAAGCUCAAAAGAAUCGCAAGAUUCCGAUCUGGAAACGUCUGAGAAAUGAAAUGGAAGCGUCUAACAAUAUGACCGAAGCACUUGUGAAGUGAAUUGAAUAUUUGUAUGUUGAUUGUUCAAUUUUGAUUCCAUGAGAUGAAAGAAUUUUGAGUCUAAAUAUCCAAGAAAACAAAGAAAUUCUUUUAUCCAAAAGAAUAAAAACUGCCAUAGACGGCUGCAAGCAGAGAAACGAAGACGAAGGAAGCUACUAGGUUUUUAAGUAUACCAUGUGGCUUGUUUAUUUUCAUUUUUCAAUUGAAAACAAUAUAUAUUUUUAAACCUGUAUUUAUGGGCCACAAAAAACGUAUACAUAAGGAAGUAUUGUUUAUUUUG